CUUAUUUCAAGAGUCUUUGAGCCUUGAGGUUUUACUUGUUGGGAGUUAGAGUUGCUGCGUAUGAGUCUGUAUUUACGGAAUUGUGUGUUUUUGAUUGUUGUUUUAAACGCUUUAUAAAUAGAAAAUGUCUAGAUUUCGUGAAUGGGAUCUGUCGUGCAAAGUGUAUGUUGGAAAUUUAGGCCCCAGUGCAUCCAAGCAUGAUCUGGAAAGGGCAUUCAGUAAAUAUGGCCCCCUUAGAAAUGUGUGGGUAGCUCGAAGCCCUCCAGGCUUUGCAUUCAUAGAGUUUGAAGAUCCUAGAGAUGCAAAGGAUGCUGUUCGAGCACUUGAUGGAAUGAGGCUGUGUGGAACUCGAGUUAGGGUUGAAAUGUCUACGGGACGCACAAGGAGAGAUGAAGGCCGCAGACAUUCAAGGAUAUAUUCUCCCUUCAGUCUACCAUCUCUGGCUCAAGUCAGUCUGCUCUUCAUGUUUUUGCUACCGACAUGACCCGGGACAACCUGAGAACUUCCCACUUGAAACAAACUACGCAUCUGGCGCCCCAGACAUCUUAGGCCCACAAAUUUGCAUCCAGCGGUUUCCACAACCCUUCUCUGCCAUCAGACCACCAAUCAACACAGCUACAACCCAUCUGUUGGGCAGCAGAACAUAACAGCCUCCUAAUACCAGCGUACGAGUUUCACAACUUCUCAUGCAACUGCCAUCUCAUGGUGCUGAUACAAGGGCCAGCCUAAUGUGCGGCUUGUAGUAUUCAGCAUACAACUGAUAAUAGGUGAUAAAAGCAAAGGACUUUUCUCUGCAGCACAAUCACGCUCACCGCCACCAAAGCGGUCACGGUCACGAUCAAGGAGCCAUUCAGUAAAAAGAUCUCGUUCAGGUUCAUGGGAUAGGCAGUAAAAUACUUGGUGAUAAAAUACUGCACCUUAUCAAUAAUAUGCACAAACUAUUGACAAACCAUGUCUGUAGGCAUUGAUGCACUUAAGAUCAGAAACUUCACAUUUCUGUUUAUUCAUCUGAUGUCAUUUUGUAAUAUCUUAUACUUUAUAAUAACUAAUAAAUUUCUAAUAUCUUGUUUA